AUUCCUACGGGGAGGCAGCAGCUAAGAAUAUUCCGCAAUGGGCGAAAGCCUGACGGAGCGACGCCGCGUGGAUGAUGAAGGCCGGAAGGUUGUAAAGUCCUUUUAUGACAGAGGAAUAACCGGGGCAGGGAAUGGCACCGGGGUGACUGUAGGUCAUGAAUAAGCACCGGCUAAUUACGUGCCAGCAGCCGCGGUAAUAAU
rnacentral:rRNA from 1 species